rnacentral:miRNA from 1 species
CCCAGUGUUCUGACUACCUGUUC